ACCUGUCCCGCCCCGACGCCGUGGCCAGCCCUGCGACAAGGCUGGACUGGGCGGGGGGCUGAGGUGGGCACCGGGCUGCCGCUGGCUCCCACACUGCCCGCUGUGCCCGCUGCCCCAGCCACCCCUGCUGCCGGAGCCUCCUACCUGGGCCGCAACGGCCAGGAUCGCAAAGAAAUCCCUCCCCUCGGUGCAGCUGCGGGCACAGAGAUCCCAGCAAAGUUUGAAAGAGGAUGAGAUUCAGUGCACUAAACUCACCAUUCUAAGGAUCAGCCACUUCCAAAGGCUGGGGUGGUGCAUCAAAGAGAAGCCAGCUGUGCCCCAGCUCCGUGAGGGGUG
rnacentral:lncRNA from 1 species